rnacentral:rRNA from 1 species
UACGGAGGGCGCGAGCGUUGUCCGGAAUUAUUGGGCGUAAAGAGCUUGUAGGCGGUUUGUCGCGUCUGCUGUGAAAGGCCGGAGCUUAACUCCGUGUAUUGCAGUGGGUACGGGCAGACUAGAGUGCAGUAGGGGAGACUGGAAUUCCUGGUGUAGCGGUGGAAUGCGCAGAUAUCAGGAGGAACACCGAUGGCGAAGGCAGGUCUCUGGGCUGUAACUGACGCUGAGAAGCGAAAGCAUGGGGAGCGAACAGG